rnacentral:rRNA from 1 species
UCGAGGAUCAUUCGCAAUGCGCGAAAGCGUGACGGUGCGACGCCGCGUGCAGGAUGAAGGCCUUCGGGUCGUAAACUGCUGUCAUGAGGGAACAAUGUCCGGGAUGUUAAUAACAUCUCGGGGUGAUAGUACCUCAAGAGGAAGCCACGGCUAACUCUGUGCCAGCAGCCGCGGUAAUACAGAGGCGGCGAGCGUCGUUCGGAUUUACUGGGCGUAAAGGGUGCGUAGGCGGUUCUGUGUGUCGGAUGUGAAAUCUCACAGCUCAACUGUGGAAUUGCAUUCGAAACUACAGGGCUGGAGUACAGGAGAGGAGAGCGGAAUUCUUGGUGUAGCGGUGAAAUGCGUAGGUAUCAAGAGGAACACCGGUGGCGAAGGCGGCUCUCUGGACUGAUACUGACGCUGAGGCACGAAAGCUGGGGGAGCAAACA